rnacentral:rRNA from 1 species
UACAGAGGUCUCAAGCGUUGUUCGGAUUCAUUGGGCGUAAAGGGUGCGUAGGCGGCGCGGUAAGUCGGGUGUGAAAUCUCGGAGCUUAACUCCGAAACUGCAUUCGAUACUGCCGUGCUUGAGGACUGGAGAGGAGACUGGAAUUUACGGUGUAGCGGUGAAAUGCGUAGAUAUCGUAAGGAAGACCAGUGGCGAAGGCGGCUCACUGGCCCGAUACUGACGCUGAGGCACGAAAGCGUGGGGAGCAAACAGG